UACGAAGGGGGCUAGCGUUGCUCGGAAUUACUGGGCGUAAAGGGCGCGUAGGCGGACAGUUUAGUCAGAGGUAAAAGCCCAGGGCUCAACCUUGGAACUGCCUUUGAUACUGACUGUCUUGAGUUCGGGAGAGGUGAGUGGAAUGCCGAGUGUAGAGGUGAAAUUCGUAGAUAUUCGGCGGAACACCAGUGGCGAAGGCGACUCGCUGGCCCGAUACUGACGCUGAGGUGCGAAAGCGUGGGGAGCAAACAGG
rnacentral:rRNA from 1 species